ACACACACACACACACACGUCUCUCUCCCCAAAUCCAUCUUUCCCCGGUAGCAUUUGAGUCAUAUCUGUAGUAACCUGUACCAAAUUAUUUCCUAGGGGUGAUUGGAUUGCACCUUGACGGACAAAAAAUGAAUCAAGUGAAUUCAUCCAGGAAAUCUGCCUCUAAUCCCCUUAUAUUUUAUUUUUAAAUAGCACUGCCAAAUAUUUAUUCCUUUCUUUCUUUCCCUCUUAUCUAGGUAAGAUCUUCCUUCCUGCCACUAACAUAAGACAGAUGCUCCGGUCUGGCCCAUCACGUCCCUGUUUCAUCUGCUAUCUUAGGAGAGGUCUUCCAGCUUCAUUUACAAACCCCUCCCCACCCAAAGGAUGUUUCCCAGAAGCCUCCAAAUUGGUACUCUCUUCUGCUGUUUCUCUAGACAAGGAUCUGCUGUGGAUAGGUUGGAAAUUUUCCUUUCUCCGAGCAACCCCCACCGGUCUCUGUGUGUGGAUGGUGAGCCCUUGAACCAGGUACCUAACGUUCUGGGAGUUGUGGAUCAACACCACCCGAGACCGGAAGCCAAUAUGUUGGUAUCAUCUCAUAAAAGCAGAGCUCUCGCCUGCUGUUUUUGUUUAAAAAGAAGAUUACCCAGAGUAUCAGUCCGAUUAAAAAAAAAAAUUAAUGUUAUACAAAUGCCCAUUGACUUCUUGCCAAAGCAAUGUGUUUCUGGUAUUUCAAUCAAACUGCUUAAUGAUUUAAUUAGAAGACCCCUAUGAGAACUCAAAGGCAUUUCAAAAAAUAGGGUAUUCAUUUUCUUUAUGAUGGAAUUAAGGAGUGAUCAAUGGAUAAGAGGCAGUUUGUGUGAUUGCUAUUGAUCCUUUACGAAAACAGCCAGUGGUUCUCCUUUUUCCUUGGUAAUUCCCACUUGUGAAGGGCACACCUGUCUUUUCUCCCAAGCUCCUUCGAAUUGCAGAUUAUACCAGCAAGAGACAGUUAUUACCGCUAUUGUUCUUUGCAGUCGACACAGAACUAGUAGCCACCUAACAGUUCUGUGCAUUUCUCAUGGAUUCUUUAAUUUUAACCCAAGCACUCAGCAGGUGGGCAGGACCCCUGCUGUUAAGAGGGAAAGGCAGUGGGCAUAACCUCACUUUGUAUUUUUGGUAAUGAGACAGGGCCACUUACCUUCCUUUUAACAGAGAAAGAGAUCUCCAGAUUUAAAAUCUCUAAAGCACCGUUGUUGCAAACUUCAGUAGAUGGCGUGAAAAAUAUGAAUACGUUGCCAUCAUCGUCUCAGGCAACAUAUUGUCUUUUUCAAUGAAGUAACAGGUUGCCGAAACAGCUAACCUCCCAACCAUCUCUCCACUGCAGAAUCCUAAAUUAUUCCCACGUGUGAGCCUUCCUUUUGAGAAAGGACUCAAUGUGACAUGUGAUGUUCUUGGCAUUGGAACCAGAAGGAAAUUCUGAUUUUUCCAGUGCUGGGAGCACAAAUAAGGUGCCCAGUGGGCAAGUAUUUCUCAACGUGAUUAAUUCCUCAUCAAGCCCCUGAAAGCACAUCAACAAGCCCUUCUUCUCUAGGGACUGCCUGGUAGUGUGUCACCUUGCUGGGCAGGAGGGAGCUGAGACGGGCAGAGUAGAAGGUAUAUUUCUUAAAUCAUGUACGUGCAUAUAUAUGUCUUUAAGGGGACUUGCCUCUCCUGAGGGUUCCGAAUACUCGUAACAACUGUGCCCUGCUAGAGUAAGAAAACAAGACCGAUUCGAUUUGAUCUAUGCAGAAAGCACUAUAUAAACUACGACUUACAAUUGAUUAAUUCAGGUUUAAAUUGUCUUACAAACAUACUUCCUGGUGGGGCUACAAAGACAAAUCUGCUGUGUCCGGGAGAGAACGAGCUUCCCCCACUCGUCACUUCGUACUUUCUCGCUAACUUAACCUUGAACACAACUGUGCACGAAACGCCACACCGGGCGCUACAAGGAAUGGAACGAGUGAGACCUGCGUACCUGGGUCAGGUGCAGGAGGGAGCAGUGGCAGAAGGGAAGUCUUAGGGCGGUAGGGGUGGAGAGCGCCUCUGGGAGAUGGGAUGUUAUCUCCCAGAUGCCUGGAGCCUGGCCACAUGCUGGGAGGCCUGCAGCAACGAGGGUGCCUGAGAACACCAAUGGCAACACAAGUGCUAGAGUCAGUGUGCUAGCGAAAUGCCGUGGUGGCCAAAGGAAGAUCCCCAUUCCAAGGGAGGAAAGAAUCUCUUGAAGCCAUGGCAUCUGGCACGAGCCCUGAAGGUUCAGUAGCAUCUCAGUGUUUAUACCAGGGAGGGAAUGGCAUCAGUGCCCAAAGGGAACAGCCUGAACAAAAUGAGGCAUGAACUACGAGGCUGACUCGGUGCUGAGGAGUGGCCUGGUGGGAGGAGAGGCAGGGAUGUGCUGUGGUCUGAAUGUUUGUCCUCUCCAAAGUCCUGCUGAAACUGGUCCUUGACACGGCAGUCCUGAGGGGUGGGCCUUUAAGAGGUGACAGGCUCCUGAGAAGUCUGCCCAGGUAAUGAAUAGGUGACCAUGGGAGGGAAAAUGGUGGCUUUAUAAGGAAAGGAGGAGAGACCUGAGUAGCAGGCUUAGCCCCAUGUGAUGAUGCCCUGCAUCACCUCAGGGCCCUGGGACCCUGCAGAGGGUCCCCACCAGCACGAAGACCCUCACAGACGGGGCCCCUGUACCUUGCACCUCCCAGCCUCCACAACUGCAAGAAACAAAUUCCAUUUCUUAUAAAUCACCCAGUUUCAGGUAUUCUGUUAUAAGCAACAGAAAACAUACUAAGACAGAGGGAUCGGGUUCAGCCAUGGAGACUCCUAAAUGACAUGCCGGUUCCUCUCUCUCUGUCCUGAGGGACCAGGCCGGGUUCUGGGGACGUCUGCCAUCAGGAUGGGCAAUGUGGAAAGUGGACGUAUUCAGACGCCACUGCUUCCGGGCACUGUGACCCUGGCCCAGCAUAACAUGGUGGAACCUUCAUGAAGGAUUCUGGGAAAGACGCAUGCGCAGGAAGGGAAACCGGUCAUGUGAUCCGUUAUAUCACCUGUCAAUCACUGCAACGAUGGGAAACGGCUACCAAUCCUGCCAGGGAAGAGGCGGGACAAGCCGGGCCCAACGAGGAAGAUGAGCUCUCUCCAGGUGCAAAAACUUAUCUACAAGUCGAGUGACAAGUUGGAAUCCUAAAUACAAACGGCGUUGCUAUGGGAACAAUCUUGAUAUCGGGUCUCUUUAGUCAUCCCCUGAUAGAGUGGCAAGAGCGAAAGUCCAGAUCUGCCCACGCUUCACAAAACUCAACGCGGAGUCCUGUCAAGAGUCACUUGACGUCAAGACUGACUUUUAAAUUCGCCAGGAAGGUGUUCUCUGGGGAGCGGUGGGUCCGCACCAUCUCUCUUUCCCUCUUUAGAGACCUGCUGCCGGCUGCUGGAGUUCUUCAGACCCACAAAUCGCAGUUCCAAACUUAAUUCAACACUUAGAGGAGGGGGAAGGAGCUUCGAACAUUGACAUUUGAUAUUUUUUUUCUAAAUCAACAUGUUUCAAUUUAUCACUC